ACGAACGCUGGCGGCGCGCUUAACACAUGCAAGUCGAGCGAUGAAAUUUCGACAGAUCCCUUCGGGGUGAAGAUGAAAUGGAUUAGCGGCGGACGGGUGAGUAACACGUGAGUAACCUGCCUUUGACAUUGGGAUAGCCUCGGGAAACUGGGAUUAAUACCAAAUGACACUAACUGAUCACAUGAUCAAUUAGUCAAAGAAAUUCGGUCAAAGAUGGACUCGCGGCUGAUUAGCUAGUUGGUGAGGUAACGGCCCACCAAGGCGACGAUCAGUAGCCGGCUGGGAGGGUGGUCCGGCACCAUUGAACUUGGAACCCGUUCCAAAUCCUACGGGAAGGCGGAAUGGGGGAUAAUGGAACAAGGGGGAAACCCUGAUGCAGCGACGCCGCGUGAGCGAAGAAGGCCUUCGGGUCGUAAAGCUCUUUUAUGAGGGAAGAUAAUGACGGUACCUCAAGAAAAAGCCCCGGCUAACUACGUG
rnacentral:rRNA from 1 species